rnacentral:rRNA from 1 species
GGGGCUAGCGUUGCUCGGAAUCACUGGGCGUAAAGCGCACGUAGGCGGACUCUUAAGUCGGUGGUGAAAUCCUGGAGCUCAACUCCAGAACUGCCUUCGAUACUGAGAGUCUCGAGUCCGGGAGAGGUGAGUGGAACUGCGAGUGUAGAGGUGAAAUUCGUAGAUAUUCGCAAGAACACCAGUGGCGAAGGCGGCUCACUGGCCCGGUACUGACGCUGAGGUGCGAAAGCGUGGGGAGCAAACAGG